rnacentral:rRNA from 1 species
UACGUAGGGUGCAAGCGUUGUCCGGAAUUAUUGGGCGUAAAGAGCUCGUAGGCGGUUUGUCGCGUCUGCCGUGAAAGUCCGGGGCUCAACUCCGGAUCUGCGGUGGGUACGGGCAGACUAGAGUGCGGUAGGGGAGAUUGGAAUUCCUGGUGUAGCGGUGGAAUGCGCAGAUAUCAGGAGGAACACCGAUGGCGAAGGCAGAUCUCUGGGCCGUAACUGACGCUGAGGAGCGAAAGCGUGGGGAGCGAACAGG